UACGUAGGGUGCAAGCGUUGUCCGGAAUUAUUGGGCGUAAAGAGCUCGUGAGCGGUCUGUCGCGUCGGAUGUGAAAAUCCAGGGCUCAACCCUGGACCUGCAUUCGAUACGGGCAGACUAGAGUUCGGCAGGGGAGACUGGAAUUCCUGGUGUAGCGGUGGAAUGCGCAGAUAUCAGGAGGAACACCGAUGGCGAAGGCAGGUCUCUGGGCCAUUACUGACACUGAGAAGCGAAAGCAUGGGGAGCGAACAGG
rnacentral:rRNA from 1 species